UUCAUCAGUCUUCCAUAAUACCCAGUGCUCACCCCAACAAGUGCUCUCCUGAAGGUCCGUCACCCCUGGUUAAAAACCCACUGGAACAGAGCCUGGCUCAUGAAGACCGCUCUACAGACAGCUGCCUUUAUCUCUGCAUAUGGGCUGCUUGACAGGACACAAGGAGCCCCAUGAGGCUGGUGGGGUGUGCAUGGACACCAUUGGCCUCAUGCAGUCAGCCUGCCUUGGCAUAGAUGCGUUACUGACCAGCUGGGGGAGUGGGCAGCAGGACUGCAGCAAGAGUGGAAUCCCCUGAGAACCCGGCCCACCGGAUCGUGUGAACACCGGUGGUGUCUGCUGUACAAGGAGAAAGUUCAGAAUACGAUCUCACGGAUUUGGCCUUCACGUCCAGUGUGCUUCCCGGGCCCGAGACUCUGGUUACCAUACCAUCUGACACCUGCUGGCUGACCUGUCCCGCUCUCCUCGUCAACAGGGAGCUCCAGGAAGGCAGGGGCCGCCGAAGCUCCAAUCAUGCCUAUGGAGGCUGGGGCAAUGUUCUUUCUGGAACAUUUCACACGAAUUCCCCUGUUCGGGAUGCUGGUACAGCCCCCAACUGAUCUUGCUGUGUUUUCACUUCUGAGUCAUUACCACAAAC